CCCAAGAGUCCAUAUCGACGGCAUGGUUUGGCACCUCGAUGUCGGCUCGUCGCAUCCUGGGGCUGGAGUUGGUCCCAAGGGUUGGGCUGUUCGCCCAUUAAAGCGGUACGCGAGCUGGGUUCAGAACGUCGUGAGACAGUUCGGUCCCUAUCCGCUGCGUGCGUUGGAGUUUUGAGGAGGCCUGUCCCUAGUACGAGAGGACCGGGACGGACGAACCUCUGGUGUGCCAGUUGUUCUGCCAAGAGCAUGGCUGGUUUGCUACGUUCGGGAGGGAUAACCGCUGAAAGCAUCUAAGCGGGAAGCCUGCUCCAAGAUGAUAACUCCCUCAUCCUUGUGGUGGUGAGGCCCCCUGUAGAUGACGGGGUAGAUAGGCCGGACGUGGAAGCAUGGUGACAUGUGGAGCCUACCGGUACUAAUCGGCCGAUAACAACAACAA
rnacentral:rRNA from 1 species